CAGGCCUAACACAUGCAAGUCGAACGGAAAGGCCCGCUUGCGGGUACUCGAGUGGCGAACGGGUGAGUAACACGUGGGCAACCUGCCCCUAGCUCUGGGAUAACUCUUCGAAAGAGGAGCUAAUACCGGAUGACGACCGACCGCGGCAUCGCGGAGGGUCCAAAGUUUUUCGGCUAGGGAUGGGCCCGCGGCCUAUCAGCUUGUUGGUGGGGUAACGGCCUACCAAGGCGACGACGGGUAGCCGGCCUGAGAGGGCGACCGGCCACACUGGGACUGAGACACGGCCCAGACUCCUACGGGAGGCAGCAGUGGGGAAUAUUGCGCAAUGGGCGAAAGCCUGACGCAGCGACGCCGCGUGAGGGAUGACGGCCUUCGGGUUGUAAACCUCUUUCAGCAGGAACGAACACAGACGGUACCUGCAGAAGAAGCACCGGCUAACUACGUGCCAGCAGCCGCGGUAAU
rnacentral:rRNA from 1 species